AGUGAACGCUGGCGGCGUGCUUAACACAUGCAAGUCGAACGAGAACGGAUUAUAGCUUGCUAUAAUUGUCAGCUAAGUGGCGCACGGGUGAGUAAUAUAUAGGUAACAUGCCCUUUACAAAGAAUAACAUUGGAAACGACUGCUAAUGUCUUAUAUGCCUUUAAUACAAAAGUAUGCAAGGGAAAGAUUUAUCGGUAAGGAUUGGCCUGUACAGUAUCAGCUAGUUGGUGAGGUAAAGCUCACCAAGGCAAUGACGCUUAACUGGUUUGAGAGGAUGAUCAGUCACACUGGAACUGAGACACGGUCCAGACUCC
rnacentral:rRNA from 1 species